GAACUUGAGUACAACGUCGC
rnacentral:siRNA from 1 species